GUGCAGACGUUUCCAUUUCGCGCUAAACUCCGAUAGUGAGUGCUGAUACAGACAAAGCUUGGUUGGGUUUGUUCAGCUUACGAUGCCUGGCAUCCUAGACGAUUGCGAGAAGUUCUUCGGUACUUCAGAUUUGUACAAGGUUUUAGCGGUACGGAAAGAGGCGAAGGAUGGAGAAAUCCGACGCGGCUAUCACAAAGUGUCAUUGCAGGUUCACCCUGACCGAGUACCGGCAGAUGAGAAAGAGGAGGCCACUGCCAAAUUCCAGAUACUUGGUAAAGUGUAUACGGUUCUCAGCGACAAGGAGCAGCGAGCUUUAUAUGAUGAGCAAGGAAUUGUUGAUGAAGAAGCUGAAUCUAUGACUCAAGACAGAAACUGGCAUGAGUAUUGGCGCUUGCUGUUUAAUAAGAUAACGAUGGCAGAUAUAACUUCAUAUAAGGAAAAAUACCAAGGUUCUGAAGAAGAGAAAGAAGAAGUCCUUCAAGCAUAUAUUGACUUUGAGGGUGACAUGGAUGAAGUUAUGGCAUCGGUUCCAUGUGUUGAGUAUACAGAUGAACCAAGAAUAAGAGAUAUCAUUGACCAAGCCAUUGAAAGGAAAGAAGUCCCAUCCUAUGAUGCUUUUGUGAAGGAAAGAAAAAAGAAACAUACUCAACGACAAAAAAGGGGUCUUGCAGAAGCCAAAGAAGCUGAAAUUAUGGCUAAGGAGCUCUGCCUUGGUGAAGGUGCAGAUGAUCUCAAAGCAUUAAUUCAGAAAAGACAAAAGGAUCGAGCAAACGAAGCAGAUCACUUCUUGGCUCAAAUGGAAGCUAAAUACUGCAAUAAACCCAAAAGGGGAGGGAGAAAAACAGCACAAAAAAGAAAAUGAGUUGUGUGGUAACAAGCUUUGCAAGUUCCACACUUAUAGAAACAUUUCUUAUUGUUUCAGUUCUGUUAGCUCUGUAGGUCCUCAGUUACCAUCCUUUCAAAAACAUCAUGUGAGCGGAUACGAAAACAGAUUUAUGACGCAAAUAUUAAUGUCUCUACUCUGGAAUUGUAUUACGCUCCUCUGUUGAUUAUUUAAAAAAAAUGUUUUUCAUUGUUGGUGUUUUAAUAAAGCUUUUGUAAAAUAACUUCA